rnacentral:rRNA from 1 species
GACGAACGCUGGCGGCGUGGAUUAGGCAUGCAAGUCGAACGGUAUCAUCCUUUCGGGGGUGAGAGAGUGGCGAACUGGUGAGUAACACGUAGGUUAUCUACCCUCAAGACGGGGACAACCCAGGGAAACUUGGGCUAAUACCGGAUGUGAGCAACUUUUAGUUGUUUGAAAGGUGGCGUAAGCUGUCGCUUGGGGAUGAGCCUGCGUCCUAUUAGUUAGUUGGUGAGGUAACGGCUCACCUAGGCAAUGAUAGGUAGGCGGCCUUAACGGGUGGUCGCCCACACUGGGAUUGAGAUACGGCCCAGACUCCUACGGGAGGCAGCAGUCGAGAAUAGUCUACAAUGGUCGGAAGACUGAUAGUGCGACGCCGCGUGAACGAUGAAUCCCUUCGGGGUGUAAAGUUCUUUUAUAUGUGAGCAGUGCUUCUUAUAUUAACAGUAUGGGGAAGAGAUAUUAGCAUAUGAAUAAGCAACGGCUAACGUCCGUGCCAGCAGCCGAGGU